rnacentral:snRNA from 1 species
GAGUGAGGGUGCUCCAUCAGUGAUGCCCACCACCCGCUGGUUCUCACAGCUGGACCUGUGGGCGUUCGUCUUUCCUCCCAGUUUCCUGGGUGCGGCUCCUACAGCUGCCAGCUCGGUGGGAGAAGAAAAGUGCUCAGGGCUGCGGAAGGUCUGUUCUUCCACCUUGGCUCCUCCAGAAGCUGCGAACCCUGUGAGAACCUCCACACUUGCUCAGAAGGCCUUUGUAAGUGCACAGGGGACUCAAGGUGCCUUAACAUCCAAGAGCCGAACAGGCUACAUCUCUAGCCACUUAGCCGGCCCCUU